ACGCUUGAAGAACCCAAGGGAGGAGAUGCUGCGGGAUAUCUGCAACGUCCUUCGGCCCUUGGAGAAUGACAUCCAGCCCUCCAUCUGUUCCCUGGCCACUCAGACCAUCCUCAUCUUGAGAACUCCAAGGAAACAGUCACCAUCAGGCUGGAACCUGCAGGCCCUGCGCUGCUGGCUCCAGAGAGCACGGGAGAGGUGGAACCACCCUCUGGGAAACGGCUCUUCUCGAGGAGAAUGAGGAUGACAGUCCCAGGCCCACGGUGCCCUUCCAUUGGUGACCUCCUGAGCAGGCAGAACAGUCUGGGUCAUUCUGGGCAUCUGCUGCAGUUCACCCCUCAGGCCUGAUGGGCAGAAUGAAAUAGACCAAGGGGAUUUCUGAGCAGCAAUUAGUUCAGAGGUUAUAAUAAAAUUCCUCACAUUA